GACGAACGCUGGCGGCGUGCUUAACACAUGCAAGUCGAACGGAAAGGCCCUGCUUUUGUGGGGUGCUCGAGUGGCGAACGGGUGAGUAACACGUGAGUAACCUGCCCUUGACUUUGGGGUAACUUCAGGAAACUGGGGCUAAUACCGGAUAGGAGCUCCUGCUGCAUGGGGGGGGUUGGAAAGUUUCGGCGGUUGGGGAUGGACUCGCGACUUAUCAGCUUGUUGGUGGGGUAGUGGCUUACCAAGGCUUUGACGGGUAGCCGGCCUGAGAGGGUGACCGGCCACAUUGGGACUGAGAUACGGCCCAGACUCCUACGGGAGGCAGCAGUGGGGAAUAUUGCACAAUGGGCGGAAGCCUGAUGCAGCAACUCCGCGUGCUGGAUGACGGCCUUCGGGUUGUAAACCGCUUUCGCCUGUGACGAAGCGUGAGUGACGGUAAUGGGUAAAGAAGCACCGGCUAACUACGUG
rnacentral:rRNA from 1 species